UACGUAGGGACCGAGCGUUGUCCGGAAUCAUUGGGCGUAAAGAGCGUGUAGGCGGCUAUUUAAGUCCUGCGUGAAAUCCUGCGGCUCAACCGCAGACGGUCGUGGGAAACUGGAUGGCUUAGAGUGCGGGAGAGGAGAGUGGAAUUCCCGGUGUAGCGGUGAAAUGCGCAGAUAUCGGGAAGAACACCCGUGGCGAAGGCGGCUCUCUGGAACGCAACUGACGCUGAGACGCGAAAGCGUGGGGAGCAAACAGGAUUAAGAAACCCCGGUGA
rnacentral:rRNA from 1 species